rnacentral:rRNA from 1 species
CUACGUGCCAGCAGCCGCGGUAAUACGUAGGGCGCGAGCGUUGUCCGGAAUUAUUGGGCGUAAAGAGCUUGUAGGCGGUUUGUCGCGUCUGCUGUGAAAGGCCGGGGCUUAACCCCGUGUAUUGCAGUGGGUACGGGCAGACUAGAGUGCAGUAGGGGAGACUGGAAUUCCUGGUGUAGCGGUGGAAUGCGCAGAUAUCAGGAGGAACACCGAUGGCGAAGGCAGGUCUCUGGGCUGUAACUGACGCUGAGAAGCGAAAGCAUGGGGAGCGAACAGGAUUAGAUACCCUGGUAGUCCAUGCCGUAAACGUUGGGCACUAGGUGUGGGGGACAUUCCACGUUUUCCGCGCCGUAGCUAACGCAUUAAGUGCCCCGCCUGGGGAGUACGGCCGUAAGGCUAAAACUCAAAGAAAUUGACGGGGGCCCGCACAAGCGGCGGAGCAUGCGGAUUAAUUCGAUGCAACGCGAAGAACCUUACCAAGGCU